rnacentral:rRNA from 1 species
GACGAACGCUGGCGGCGUGCCUAAUACAUGCAAGUAGAACGCUGAAGGAGGAGCUUGCUUCUCUGGAUGAGUUGCGAACGGGUGAGUAACGCGUAGGUAACCUGCCUGGUAGCGGGGGAUAACUAUUGGAAACGAUAGCUAAUACCGCAUAAGAGUAGAUGUUGCAUGACAUUUGCUUAAAAGGUGCACUUGCAUCACUACCAGAUGGACCUGCGUUGUAUUAGCUAGUUGGUGGGGUAACGGCUCACCAAGGCGACGAUACAUAGCCGACCUGAGAGGGUGAUCGGCCACACUGGGACUGAGACACGGCCCAGACUCCUACGGGAGGCAGCAGUAGGGAAUCUUCGGCAAUGGACGGAAGUCUGACCGAGCAACGCCGCGUGAGUGAAGAAGGGUUUCGGAUCGUAAAGCUCGGUUGUAAGAGAAGAACGAGUGUGAGAGUGGAAAGUUCACACUGUGACGGUAUCUUACCAGAAAGGGACGGCUAACUACGUG